AGAAUUUUCACGAUAUAAAGUGAUAAAAACAAUUUAUAUUUCUUAAACGUAAAGGUAAAAAAAUGGCUGAGAUUUUCAAGGUUUUCUAUACACUGAUAAUUUUUGCUUCCCUAUAUUAUGUUGUAGCUUUAGUGCAAAACGAAUGUGUUACUGAUGGCGAUUGUCGUAGAUUAUAUCCCCAUUUAAUUCCUCGAUAUCCGAUGUGCAAUGAAGGUACUUGUGUGUGUAUUUUUGAAUAAAGGAUAUCCCCAAGAUAUGAAUAAACAACAAUACAAGGUUUUUGCUUAUGGGAAUAAAGUGUAGAACUAUUCUCUCACAUAUGCUAUGAUGUUCUUGAAAGUUAGUUUGAAUAUUGUUUUUGUUUAAAUUAUGUUGGAAGGAUCUAUAAUUGUGGUAGCAGGGUCGGGUUUAAUAAUCUGGUCUUGACAUUUUUUUUGGGUCCUUAAAAUAAUAUUAUGUAGACUAUUUUACUAUGAGGAUAAUUGUAAAUCUUUAAGAAGCAAAAAUAUUGUACCUCAAAUUAUGAUAUUCAGUUGUUAUUUUCCACGAUCUAA